UCCGGCCUCCUGAGAUCCCGCCCCGCCCGCGCGGCCCUUCUGGGCUCGGGCCUGCGCGGGGCGGAGCCUAGUGGAGGGCACUUCCUCCCCUUCCUCCUCCCCUCCGCCCACCGGAUGUCUGUUCAUUACAGUAGACACCUGACCUGAUGCUUGCUGAACAAGUUCGGAAACAAUAUUUAGAGAAAUGCAGGUUCCACCAGGCCUCAGAAUGGAAUAUGACCAAUGGAAUUUCACCAUUAGGAAUUCUGCACAACCUUUCAUUUUCCAAGAGAAUAUCUUCUUCAGCAACAAUCUCGAAGGCAGUGACAUAUCUUGGAAUGAAGAAGAAAAUGGUUGUGAGAUAAAGUAUGAGUUAUAAGGCAAUUUGAGCAGGACAUAUAUUCAGCACCCUGCAUGAAGUACAAGAGGAGACUCUGGCCCAGCGCUCUCCAUCAGCAGAGUUCUUUUGCAAGGUCUAGCAUGACAGAAAAUCGCUACUCUUAGUAAUUAGAUAUAACCAGGAUAGUUGGGGAGCAGCAAGGGCCGGAGAUGAGACUUGGUUAAUAUGACCAUCGCAGCUUCUUACUGGUGUAGCUAACGUUCCUAUUUUACUUCUUUAACGUUUGUUAAAUACUAGUGUCGCUUACUUAGCAAAAAGGCAGCUGUGUCUUCUCAGACUUGUGUAAGACUAUAAUUGAGGGAUACCAAAAAUGGGUCUAUUUCAACUAAUUUCUUAUACUGUUUUUCUUAACUUAUCAAUUGAAUUAUAAUGAUUCAUUCCAGAAAUGUGCCAAUUUAUUUACCAUAAUCUUGAACAGAUGGAAGCAACUUCAAUACAUAGGUGUGUUAUCCAUAAUAAAUGCACCUUUUUUUACCCUGUCCAAUAGCAUAUAACCUUUGUCUGCCUGAUAAACAUUGGGAUAAAUUUUCAAAACUGUACUUAAAAUUGUUAAUAUCUUAAAAAAGUUUAUGACCUUUGAUCCAAUAAUUGCCCUUCUCGGAAUCUAUCCAAAGGAAAUAGAAAUUCAAGUAAGAUUUAUAUAUGAAAGAUUCUCACUGAAGUGUCAUUUAUAAUGACAAAAAUUGAAAAAUCUAAUCUAAAUCAAUGAUAGUAAAAUUAUUGAAUAAAUUGAUAUAUCAGUUUAUGAUUAUUUAAAAAUUUGGUCAUUUAAAAUUUAUUGGCACUUAAAAAUGUUUUUCAAGUUUACUUGAUCAUAUAAAAUAUCCCAAUUUUGUAAAAAUAUAUGUAUAUGCAUGGAAAAAAGACUGGAAGCAACCACAUCAAAAUAUUAACUCAUUGCUGAAGAGUAGGAUUUUUCAUAAUUUCAUUUCAUUUUCUUUGUACUUGAAAUUUUUUCAUAUUCUCUAUAAUGAGCAUUUUUUUAUAAAUAAGAAAAUAAUAAAUUCUACUUUAAAAAAUUUUUAGGAAGUGUAUUAAAGUUCUCUGGGGAAAGUUAAUAAACAUUUGACUUCUUGAUUCAUAGCUAAUAUUAGGGCCCCAUGCUAAAUACUGUAGAAGUGCCAAAAGAGAAGGUUUUUUCUAUUGAAACAGUCAAAUACAGCUGUGUAUAAAUAUGUCCUAGGAAAAGGUCUGGAAGGCUAGACAUUAAGGUAGUAAGUCUCUGGGCUGGUGGAAUUAUGAAUGUUUUCACAGUAUUUUUGCUUAUCACUAUUUUCAGAUUGCUCUAUAAUGUGCAAAUAUGGCCUUUUAUCAAAAGAGGAAAAAAAGGAGUUUGUCCUUUGUGGCUUUAGAGUGUUUUAAAAUAAAAAUUAAUUAAAAAAAAAACACGAAAGAAAAUUUUUUUAACUUUGUUAAAAAAAAAAAAAAGAUGCUACCCAGAGCUGUUAGAAUUAGCCCAUUUGAGACCCUCCUAACUUGCAAUUAGGAAUACAAAUUACUAAUUACUCAUCAUAUGGAGUUUUGACAGAUUAAAUAAUAUAGCCUUGUAUUUGGUAUCUUCUUAAUACUUGGGAGUAAAAAAAAAUAAAUCCUUUGACAUUAUCUAUAAAGCAAUUUAAGAAAUCUUAGAAAUCUCAGUUAUGCAACUGAUGCUAUUCCUAAACUAGAUUAAACAAACGUCUUACAUUGGCAGUUGUAUCAAUGCAAUGGUACAUCAAUAAAGGAUUUAAAAACCAGGAAGGUAUUCCAGUAGGGAUGAAAAAAACACCACCAUGUGGAAAUAGACAAGAUUCCUAAAAGAACAGCAUCAAGUUUAUAGCUGGUCUUUAAAUAAAAACAACUGGAACAUUUUUUCUUGUCACAGGAUUUUGAGAUAGAACCUUAUCAGUGGUUGGUAAUCUGAUCCAUUUUACAAUGUAUAUAAGCACUGUGUUUGAUAUAAAAUAGUUGUUCAAUAUCUUUUUGUAAAUUUUUUUAUUCAAACUUAUGCAAAACAAAAUGAUUCCUACAUUUAGUUUACAAACAAAGUUGGAUUACUUACUGAACAAAAUAUACAAUGGUAAUAUUUUUCCCUAAAUUUGAGUACCUGGAGGAAAAUACAUCUAACUAAUUUGAAUGCAAAUCUGAAAAACAAUGAAACAAAGUCAUCUGAUUGAGACAACGUGAUGUACUAAAAUGAGCUUUGAAUGCUGGAGUCUAUUAUCAACAUUGCCACUAACUAGCUUGUAACCUUGGGCUUCACUUUUUCCAGCUAAUAAAUAAGAUGAUUAGACAAGAUAAUCUCUAAGAUCUCCUCAGACUUUAGAAGUGUAUGAUCUGAAACAAACAUAAGAAGAUUCUGAAACGUGAAGAGAAGACCAGCUAGGAACCUUAGUACCCAAGGAAUAACAUGGUAAUAAAUUCUCUUGAGUUGUCUUUUUGCUUCAUGUAUCUCAGAUUAGGAACUGAAGAAGCUGGCCACAGGUGACACAGAUUUAAGAAGAAAAAAAAAAGCCCAACAAAAGCCUGCUUUCUUUAGCCACGCAACCCUGUAAAGGAGAGCCUAGCCCUGGGGUAUGGUAGCCAGGGUCCUCAUCAGCCAAGUCAUCUUGUCCAUCGACACCAAGCCUCAGAACAAGGACCAUGUGAUUUAGGCACAACACAGGGCCAAAUUCAAGUUCCCCGGCUGCCAAAAAAAUCCCUAUCUCCAAGAAGUGGGGCUUUACCAAGUUUAAUGCCAAUGAAUUUGAAGUUAAAGUGGCUGAGAAAUGCCUCAUCCUGGAUAGAUUAGGAGUCAAAUACAUCCGCAACCAUGACCCCUUGGAUAUGUGGUGCAUCCUGCACCCGUGAAGGCUUUGCCAGCACUGCCCUCACUGACUUGUGCUCACCAAUAAACUACUUCCUGGCCUUCUAAAGAAACAGCAGAGAUCGAUGAAAUGGAAAACAGAAAAAUGAUAGAGAAAGUCAAUGAAACAAAGAGCUGAUUCUUUGAAAAGAUCAAUAAAAUUGGCAAACCUCUAGCAAGAAUGACAAAGAAAAAGAGAGAGAAGACACAAAUACUAGGGAUGAAACGGGGUAUUGUUACAGACCCUGCAGACAUCAAAAAAGAUGGUGAGGGAAUACUGUGGGCAACUCUACACACAAAAAUUUUACAACUUAGAUGAAAUGGACCAAUUCCACAAAAAAACACAACUCACCUAGUAUGAAAUAGAUUAUUAAGAUAGCUUUAAUAAUUUAAAAACUCCAAAAAAUGAACUCCCCAGGCCAACGUGGUUUCACUGGAGAAUUCUACCAAAUGUUUAAAGAAGAAUUAACACCAAUUCUACACAAUCUUUUCCAGGAAAUAGAAGAGGAAGGAACACUUCCCAACUUAUUUUGUAAAGCUAGUAUUACCCUUAUAUCAAAACCAGACAAAGGCAGUACAAAAAAAGAAAACUAGAGACCAAUAUCCCUCAUCACAGUAGAUCCAAAAAUUCUUAACAAAAUUUUAGUAAAUAAAUUCAGCAAUACAUAAAAUACUUAUACAUCAUGACUAUGGUGUUUAU